CCACGGAUUCAACUGUCUCGAGCUCUCCUGCUCUGGUCAGUUACUACAAAAUGGCUGCAGAGGCUYCUCCGCCUGUGAGAACCUGAACGCUUCAUGGUAGGAGUUACUCUUCCACGUUGACCGCUAAAAUAAGAAAAAAACAAAUCGUAGUUGCGGCCUUCCGUUUGCGCAAAUAUGCAGGAUUAUGACGUUUCGAAGCUCAGCUAGGCUAAAGGCUUAAAGCUUAUUUAGCUCACCCUCCCCCURCUAAAUGAUGUUGUUUUUCCCCCUCGGGUGCUCAGAUUUUUUUUUUUUUUUGAACAAACUUGUCUGUUUUGGUUAGCAUACAGCUGCCGCCGUGUUUGGCACGAAGGUGUUCUUCGAKUCGACGGAACAGGCGUCGUUUGUUUGAGAUCGCAAGGGCGCCAUGUGUUGUUGCCAAGCUGCUGUAAUGUUUGUUUCAGCUGGGCAGACAUGGUGGGACGCCUCCCGCUGCUCUGCCGCGCAGGAGAUGUGAAACUGAUAUUACCGCCGCUCGUUCGGCACAAAUCAUCCCACCGAACAGCUCAUUCAUGUGGCGCUGAACAGUUCCCAGUUUCGUUCACUGACAGAAGGUUAGACAGUGCAUCCUAACCUUAAAAUAUACUCCUAAAAAGUGCUUAUAUCUUGUGCCUUAAUUGUGUCGUUUAAUUUUAAAGAGGAGAGUCAAACAGCUUAACGUUGCCUCUGCUUGGCAUCAUGCACACGCACGCGCACGCUCCUCCAGUGUGUGCAGACUGGGAAUGCCAGUACUCUGAUGCAUGCAGAGAGCAGACUGAGCUGUGAAAGAAGCCAAAACACAAGAAGAAAAC